GGAGCAGCAGAUCCCGUCUCGAGGGAAAGAGUGACUGUGAGUUCCUCGUUUUGGCGGUCUUGAAUUUUAUUCGCUUUUCCCGGCUCUCGUGAUUUCUGAUUUUAUUUUUAUUAUUGUUUUUCUGAUUUCGUGGAUUAAUGGAGAAGAUAAGUAUCUCAGAUUCUGAACUAGAAUGUCUGUUUAAUGAGAAGAGAUGCACCAAGAAUCCUCUUGUUCCUAUAGGUUUAUGGUUCCACAGCCCAAUUUGCUUGUGGGAUAGGAACAGUAUAGACAAUAUUAUCAAUUAACAGACCACAUCAAUUGCAGGUGAGCUUUUAACUGGGGUUUUCAUAGCUGGCUUAAUCACUUCCAGACAGGGAAACUCUCAGUUGGGUCAGAAGAUAAUGAAGCGUGGUUGUAUAAGGUGCCACAGUUGCUCUAAUGGUUGGAACUAUAUAAGUGCAAUCAGAGUGCAUACAACUGCUUCUUGAAUAUUCUCUAUUUACCUUUUUGUACAGGUAUUUUUUCCAUUAUGGAGGGUAAGUAUCAUUCUUCUUGAGUGAGAUAUUUUCUUCAUGUUGUUAGUGAAAGUCUUAUUCUAAGCAAGAAGGCAUCCUGGCCCCCAGUGGACCCUUGCCUGUUUCCUUCUCUUUAAAAUAAAGACAUUAGUUGGGUGGAGAAAAUGUUUUCAUGGACCGAUUUAGAAGGAUCUCAUAGUUCUGUUAUGAGGAAUUGUAUGAGGAUGAAUGGUUGAAUCAGCAAGAAAUGGAGAUUUCCUGUUAAAUUCCACUAUGCUGACCAUAUGUGAAAUGUUACAAUACAUGGAUGUGCUGAACUAGAAGUGCCUAUUUCAGACUGAGGUCUUCUGGUAGAUAAUAGGGACCUGCUUUAUGCACAUUUUAUUGAAAAUUUUGGUAAUUGCUUCUAGCUCCUUGCUUUGCAUGGAACAGAAACGACAAUGGUUCUCAAGGUGUUGAGGUCUUCUAAUGGUAACCUUUUCUUGGUGUCUUUAUCCCCUAUCUUUUUUAAUGUCUUCCUUAUUGUCAAA